UACAGAGGGUGCGAGCGUUAAUCGGAGUUACUGGGCGUAAAGGGCGCGUAGGCGGAUGACUAAGUGAGAUGUGAAAGCCCCGGGCUUAACCUGGGAAGUGCAUUUCGGACUGGUGAUCUGGAGUAGGGUAGAGGGUGGCGGAAUUUCCGGUGUAGCGGUGAAAUGCGUAGAGAUCGGAAGGAACGUCGAUGGCGAAGGCAGCCACCUGGACUCAUACUGACGCUGAGGCGCGAAAGCAUGGGUAGCGAACAGG
rnacentral:rRNA from 1 species